rnacentral:lncRNA from 1 species
CUUACAUGUUGAUACUUCCUUCCCCGCCUAUCACUCUGGAUUAGUGGAUUUAGAUACCUCGUCCAAUCCAGAUUUUGAGUCAGUCUGUAUCCAUCCUCUCCUUGCCCAACAAUUGGUUUCCAACCUUUUGAUGAGUCAAUUCUGGAACUCGAUUUCGAAUCCAUCCUCCCCUUUUACAGGCGGACCACCUUACUCCACUAAAGAACUUCUAAUUUGGGAGCUCCAGUUCCCCCACAGCUAUUUCACAAAAAAGAUUUAACUGUUUUGAGUAGAAUUAGA